UACAGAGGUCUCAAGCGUUGUUCGGAUUCAUUGGGCGUAAAGGGUGCGUAGGUGGCGCGCUAAGUCAGGUGUGAAAUUUCGGAGCUUAACUCCGAAACUGCAUUUGAUACUGGCGUGCUUGAGGACUGGAGAGGAGACUGGAAUUCAUGGUGUAGCAGUGAAAUGCGUAGAGAUCAUGAGGAAGACCAGUGGCGAAGGCGGGGUCUCUGGACAGUUCCUGACACUGAGGCACGAAGGCCAGGGGAGCAAACGGGG
rnacentral:rRNA from 1 species